CCAUCCCAUACAGAGAUGCCCAGGCCUCAGCCAGGGCAGGAAGUGUUCCUGGGACCAGGGCCCUCCUCCUUGACCACCCCACCCCCAACAAGGACACCUUAUGGGGGCAGGGCAAUAUGUGACCACUCAGAUCCCACCCUUGCACAAGGGCCCACGUAGGAGGAAGGAGACCCAGCGUGUCCCCCAGGUGCUCCCAUUCCUCUCCUCCAUCCGCCCAGGGACACAAGCCAGACUGAUUCGUCCAUGUGCCCACUCUGGGCUGCGCCCUCUUCUGCUGCAACUGUAGGGAGCAGCCAACGCCAGCGAGAGACGAAAGCAGAGUUGGUCUCCCCGCUGGGUCCCUCUCACUGCCCCUCUGUGUGCCCUCAUCCCACCUCUGAGAACCUCUCCCCAUGUUCCAAAGUCCCCAGUCCCUCCCUGCAGCCCUGGCUCUGGUGGUCACAAGGGACAGCUUCAGAUGGGACCUUCCCGACAUUGGUGUGAGGCCCAAAGGCAUGGGGUCCCACUGGUGGAACAGUGUGCACCGCGGAAGGGAGCUGAGGAUGCGCUGUCGCUAGGAGCCAGAGUCACUCACACCACAGCUUCCAUCCUCCGUGAUCUGGUCUGCACAAGCACUCCAUCCUGCAGUUAGUCCAGCCCUGCAAACGGAGCCCGAGUCAGGACGGACCCAACCUGGCCUUUCAGGACCCGGCCUCUGCAGGCUCCACAUUUCUUCUGAUGUGGCCACCCAUAGGCUGGUGCUGGAGUAGACUUCAAGGUGACCGCUCACCCCCCAGGAGGUGGAGCAAGAACCCUCCACCCUCAGCAUCCCCUCAGCCAGACCAGCACGUGGGCCCGGAGAGAAGGAAUCCGAGCACACGCCUCUCACCCCCUGCCACCCUUACCCUGCUUCCUCCAUGGUCCCUCGUGGGGAAGGAGUGGCUCUGCACUUCCUGUUUGCCAUUACCUGAGCCCUUGCCACCUGGGGAGUGAUAAACUUUGUGAUCUCAUCAGCCAAGCCUGGACUUCCAUAUGCUACCGGAGGAUCUCUGUCAACAAUCCCCCUAUUUCCGCAAAGCCUGGACUUCCAUACCAUCAUCUCCAUAACGAGGUCAAAAAAGUCAGCUUGGAGUCCCGAGGAUGACCACUUCCCACCCCUUCCCUGUGGCAAUGUCUGAUGGCUCAUCCUCUGAGACGGCAGCUGCAAGAAAACGUGAAUGAAAGGGUGAUUUUAAAAAGGAAUCCGUUCAAAUAGUUAAGAUGCAAAGAACUGUCUCCAGCGACCAUCCCCAGUAGAAAAGUGGUUUUUGCUUCGAUCCAUCACAAAGCACCACUGCCAUCUGGUGGCAGGAUCUUGAAUUGCAAGCAAAUUCCCCAAGAUUAAAUACGCUCUAGGAAAGUGAUUCUCAAAGCGUGUUCUACUGAUAGCCUCCAAUUUACCAUGCGAGCUUCUUUAAAAUGCACAUUGCUGGGUCCCAUUGAAUCUGAAUCUCCAGGAUAGACUACAAACACCCACAUUUCAAAUAAAUUUCCCAAGUGAUCUUCAUGCAUACUCAAAUUUGAAAAUCAUUGAUCUAAAGAACAUGCCUACAUGGUGCAACCACAGAAAACUCGGAGACAGUCAGUAUCAAGGGCGGACUCAUUUUUCUGUGAUGCUGCUCUGAUAUUUUGAAGACUGCUGCUUUCUCUUUGUAGUCUGAUGGGUUCUAUGGAGUUGUGUUGUUUCU
rnacentral:lncRNA from 1 species